rnacentral:rRNA from 1 species
GUGCCAGCAGCCGCGGUAAUACGGAGGGGGCUAGCGUUGUUCGGAAUUACUGGGCGUAAAGCGCACGUAGGCGGAUCAGAAAGUUGAGGGUGAAAUCCCGGGGCUCAACUCGGAACUGCCUUCAAAACUAUUGGUCUUGAGUUCGAGAGAGGUGAGUGGAAUUCCGAGUGUAGAGGUGAAAUUCGUAGAUAUUCGGAGGAACACCAGUGGCGAAGCGGCUCACUGGCUCGAUACUGACGCUGAGGUGCGAAAGCGUGGGGAGCAAACAGGAUUAG